rnacentral:rRNA from 1 species
AUUGAACGCUGGCGGCAGGCCUAACACAUGCAAGUCGAACGAGUGGCGGACGGGUGAGUAAUGUCUGGGAAACUGCCUGCUGGAGGGGGAUAACUACUGGAAACGGUAGCUAAUACCGCAUACCAUCGGAUGAGCCCAAGUGGGAUUAGCUAGUGGGUGGGGUAACGGCUCACCUAGGCGACGCUCCCUAGCUGGUCUGAGAGGAUGACCAGCCACACUGGAACUGAGACACGGUCCAGACUCCUACGGGAGGCAGGAGUGGGGAAUAUUGCACAAUGGGCGCAAGCCGGAUGCAGCCAUGCCGCGUGUGUGAAGAAGGCCUUCGGGUUGUAAAGUACUUUCAGCGGGGAGGCGUUACCCGCAGAAGAAGCACCGGCUAACUCCGUGCCAGCAGCCGCGGUAAUAC